AGUGGAGGUCAUAUAUCACUUUGCUCAUUAAUCUUAUCAGGGUCUCAUUUCAAUCAUUAAAGUCACAAUAAAUAUCAAUCAAGUACCUCCAAAUUUUAGUUCAAGGAGUAAAAAUAUUAUUUAGAGAGUUUGACACAUUAUUUUUGAAUACUACCACAACCAACUAAAAGGUUAUGACUUCUAGCAUUUAUGACAAUAUAUUCAG
rnacentral:lncRNA from 1 species